rnacentral:rRNA from 1 species
UACGGGGGGGGCAAGCGUUGUUCGGAAUUACUGGGCGUAAGGGCUCGUAGGUGGCCAACUAAGUCAGACGUGAAAUCCCUCGGCUUAACCGGGGAACUGCGUCUGAUACUGGAUGGCUUGAGUUUGGGAGAGGGACGCGGAAUUCCAGGUGUAGCGGUGAAAUGCGUAGAUAUCUGGAGGAACACCUGCGGCGAAGGCGGGUAGCUGGGCCAACACUGACGCUGAUGCGCGAAAGCUAGGGGAGCAAACGGG